rnacentral:rRNA from 1 species
AACGAACGCUGUCGGCAUGCCUAACACAUGCAAGUCGAACGAGAUCUUCGGGUCUAGUGGCGCACGGGUGCGUAACGCGUGGGAAUAUGCUCUGUGGUUCGGAAUAACAGUUGGAAACGACUGCUAAUACCGGAUGCGGACGAAAGUCCACAGAUUUAUCGCCAGAGGAUGAGCACGCUUCGGAUUGGAUAGUUGGCGUGGUAAAGGCGCACCAAGGCGACGAACCUUAGCUGGUCUGAGAGGAUGAUCAGCCAAACUGGGACUGAGACACGGGCCAGACUCCUACGGGAGGCAGCAUUGGGGAAUAUUGGACAAUGGUCGACAGCCUGAUCCAGCAAUGCCGCGUGAGUGAUGAAGGCCUUAGGGUUGUAAAGCUCUUUUACCCGAGAUGAUAAUGACAGGACCGGAAGAAUAAGCUCCGGCUAACUCCGUGCCAGCAGCCGCCGUAA